UGAGUACACUAUAUAAAGAACUUGAACAUUGUUAUGCAUAUUGCAAAAACAAAAGAAAAUAGAGUUGUAAGAAAAUCUUCAAAGAAAAAUGGCAAAGCUCAUUUUCCAUUCUCUUCUAUUGGGACUUUUUUGCACUGCGUUGGCCAUGACUUCAGCAGGAGCAACACCUGAUUUCAUCAGUCCAAUUCAAUGCAUCGGGAUAUGCGCUAAUAAUUGUAGGCUAACGUGCAAGAUUAAGGGAUUUCCUGAUGCAGUUUGUAUUGGAAAUUUUUGUUGUUGUAAAGGUUAGGCAUGAAGAAUAAUGCAAUCAAGAGCAAUGGAGCAUUCUAUCAGUCUCAAAUAAAUAGAAUCUAUGGGAGGUUAAAAUAAAUAAGCAAUUAUGCUAUAAUAAAUUGGGGGUAAGAGUUGUUUUCAUUUGAAUGUAAUGUAUUGUACUUGUAGUAAAUAAGAGUAAAUUGCAUGUCUCUAAAAAGGGAAAUAUCAAUAAAGUGAACAACAUAUGAGAGUUUGUAUUUA